ensembl:lncRNA
UUAUGUAAAAAAUCCAGUGUUUCUAUUUGAAACGUUGUUGUUAUAUUACACUCUAAUGUGAUAUAAAGUGUAAUAUUGGAAUGAAACUGACAUGGUACAUGUGUCUUAUAUUUAGACAGUCAAAUAGUGAUGGAUAUCUCAGAAAAAACGAUGCAGAGGAAAUAUAUGACAUUUUAAAUGCGGUCCUCCGGACCAGGUUGAAGAUCAAAUGCGGCCCACUUGGCAAAAUGAGUGUGACACCCCUGAUCUAGACUGUUAGAGAGGUUACUACCCUCACUGUUCCCCAUGCUACUUCCUCAAACAGAGGUUACUACCCUCACUGAUCCUAAU